rnacentral:rRNA from 1 species
UGAACGCUGGCGGCGUGCUUAACACAUGCAAGUCGAACGGAACAUUCGCCCGAUGAAAGAGAUAGCUUGCUAUUGAUUGAUUCAACUGAAAUGUUAGUGGCGGACGGGUGAGUAACGCGUGGGUAACCUACCUACACAGGGGGAUAACAGUUAGAAAUGACUGCUAAUACCGCAUAAGCGCACAGUAUCGCAUGAUACAGUGUGAAAAACUCCGGUGGUGUAAGAUGGACCCGCGUCUGAUUAGCUAGUUGGUGAGGUAACGGCCCACCAAGGCGACGAUCAGUAGCCGGCCUGAGAGGGUGAACGGCCACAUUGGAACUGAGACACGGUCCAAACUCCUACGGGAGGCAGCAGUGGGGAAUAUUGCACAAUGGGGGAAACCCUGAUGCAGCGACGCCGCGUGAGUGAAGAAGUAUUUCGGUAUGUAAAGCUCUAUCAGCAGGGAAGAUCAUGACGGUGCCUGACUAAGAAGCUCCGGCUAAAUACGUGCCAGCAGCGGC